CCCUUUCAGUGAAAAUUGAAAAUAUCAGAAACUUCCAAUGGAGAAGAGAAGAUGCAUAGCAGUAAGGAUGCACACAAAUGAAUUUUUCACUUUUCUUCGUAAGUGUUUUUCACUUUUUAAUGUUUUUUUUUGUGUGUAGAUAAACUUUUUUUUACUAAUUGUAAUGAGAAUCAUGUAAAUCGACAAUUUUAUUUGUUGCUAUUCAUAGAUUUUGAGAUCAUCAGCAAAUCAAACACAAGGUUUAGUCUGAUGAAUGCUUGAAAUUGAGCAACUUCAAGUAGCUGAUUUUGGUUUAGUGACUAAUUACUGAUUAAGUUGGGAUAAUUUUGAUUAAAUACUUAAAAUUGGGGCCAUAAACUGAUUUUCUAAGAAAUAUGGCUUCAAUUAGUGAAAAAAUUAGAGAUAAUUUGGGAUAAUUUUGUUUAACAAUCGUACUAUCUCAAAAAGAAAAAAAUUGUUCAAUGGUGGUUAAAUGAAUAUUAGUACUGAUUCCGAUUCUGAUGAUGCAUGGAGAUAACCUGAGGUGAACUAUUGCAGGCAUUUAGUGCAAUAACAAAUCAAUUCUAUGUAUAAUAACCAGCUUAAUUAAAGAGAUAACCAGCUUAGUACUUUUUUCAAACUCUCUGUAAGCUGUUAAAAUUGUCUCCAUGGACGCUACUAAAUUAAGUAUGAGCAAAAAAGAUAGUAAUACUUUUUCGUCUUCUAAAUAUAAAAUGAUAUACAACACAAAGUUAGUUUCUAUGUUUGGCUUUUUGUGAGUUCUUAGUUUUGGAAUUAGUAGCAGAGAAUAAUUUGCAUAUUUUCAUUUCAAAACUUGCAUAUAGAAGAUCAAAAUAUCUGACUUUUGCCGUGUUGCACUUGGUUUUAAGCCAAAAUGAUUAAAAAUAAGCCAAAAGUCAUAAGUUAAAGUUAGAAAUCCAAACUUUUCACUUUUGGCUUAUAAGCGAAAAAACAAGAGCCAAUCCGGACAAUCUCUGUACUAUUUGUGAGAUAACUAUUUGUUACUGAGAUAAUUUGAUUUCAAGUAAUGGUAACAGCCCUUAACCCAUACUAAACUAAUUUAAAUACUAAUUAGGAAGUUAUUGAUAUUUCAUUCGUAUGAAAUAUUAUUUUAAAUGUUGCCAGCAAUUGAUAUUUCAUUAGUAUGAAAUCUUAUUUUAAACGUUGCCAGCAAUUGAUAUAUCAUUAGUAUGAAAUCUUAUUUUAAAAGAUUGUCAGCAACAAUCUUGUUUUCGACAUUGAAAUAAGUUUGAGAAAUUUUCAAUUUGCAUAUGAAACCCCUUGCACUGCCCCGUUUAUAGUAUUUCGAAAAUAUAUUUUGACCCACCCUGCCCUGCCCCACACAGCACUCUCCUGUCCCACCCCGCCUGUGUCCUGCCCCAUUGCCACCCUAGCGAUAAUUUCAAGUUAGUUUGUAGAAGGUUUGAAAUGAGUGGAUCGUAUCAGAGGGAAAACAGCUUGUGUAUCUGAACAUUAGUGAGAUCAUAUGCGAGCAUUAAAUGAGUCAUGGAACUUGAGUUUUGACGCCAUGCUUCCAUGUCAGCUUACAAAGGAAACUUCUACAUACAAAACCAGAAAGAAUACACGAAAAAUGAUAAUAUUAAUGUCAGAGCAGUUGUUAUGCUGGCUAUUCCUGCGAUAUAUUUACAAAAUGUAUUGUUGGAAGGUGAUUUUGGCUGUAUAUGGCUGCAGUUGUAAAUCAAUAUACUGUUCUUUGCUGGUCUAAUUAGUUUGAGGUUAUAACUAAUUCUUGUGUCAAUUACCAUCAAAACUUUACCUUGUGUGAGAGCACAUGCUCCCCAUAAGUGUGUCUACCGGUGAUGAAUGUGGCUUAAGUUCUAAACUUGUGUUAUGACUGAUAUUUGGCUUAAGCUGGACUUGAUAUGUUGAAUGUUAGAACUUCUUUCCAGUUUGGAAAUCAUUUGACUUUUCCAGUCGCUGGCUUCAAUCUGUCAAGUCGCGAUUUUGCUAAUGAGAUAAAUCAUUGGAUCUAUUGCAGAUCCUGAUGAUGCAUUUUUAUUUUGUUGGUCGUGCAAAAAUUUAUUGAUCUUUGGAAAAUAAGUGGGAAAUCUUAGAUAAGAUGAAAUGACUAGUAAAGUUGUUCAAAAUUUAUUUUUUACAGUGAGGCCUCUUAGCGUAAACAAAGAGGUGCUAUUAUUGUUUUUAUAAAAAUAAAAAAAAUAAAAAAAAAUAAAUAAAAGAAAUAAAGAAGAGCCUCUCACCAGUAGUAUCCGAACAAAGUACAUAGAAAACUGGCUACUGGUUAUAUGCCUUCUCAUUUUAACAAGUGUAAACACAGAUCGUCCGAAAUGGAGUCGGAAGAGUGUAAAAAUGAGAACUCCAGUAUUGCCUGCUCUGUUGUCUGUGGACUAUAAUCAUCAUGGAUUUAUUUUUAAUUUGUCUAUGUACUUUUCUUUCACAAUAUCUUCUCCAGAAAUGAAGUCAAGGAAAUCACUGAAACUUCCUUCUUUGUAGGACAAGAUAUUUUGUUCGUUAACAAGCGCUGAUGCAGGUCUAACUUUUUUACCUAAAGCUAGACUAUGAAGGCUGACAAUUGAAAUGCGCCUUUUCUCCGUGUUAACUGUUACUCGGUGGACAACACUUUUGUAUAUCCCAUUGCUCAAUACUUCCAUGUGAUCUCCCAGCAGAACGACGAGAGCUCCUUUAAUGAGUGGAACUGAAUGCCACUUUUCACCUCGGUCCAUGAUUUGCAAACCCUGAUGAUUUUGUAGAAUGGUGGAUACCAUACCAUAAUCUGUGUGUGGUGGCAACCCUAGUGUAAGAUCUGGCUCAGGACAUGCUGGAUAGCAAUUAACUGCCAUGACCUGGGAGCCUUCUGCAAUGUCUUCAUGUAAGUAAUUAUCGUUUAGUCCUAAGCUCUCAAAUAUCACUUGCAUGAGUUCUUCUUGCAACUUUUGUGCUGCCGUGGUGUAGUUUCCCAUAUUCUUCCUGCAUGACGAAUCACUUUAGGAUCUUGAAGAAAUUAUAGCAUUCUUAAACAGUAGGAAUAUGCAUCUAUAAAGACAAACUUAUCUGCUAAGCAUAUUCAGCAAAGGAAUGAAAGACUUACUUGUAACAUGUGGGAUUUGAUGGCCACAAGUCCAUCCAAGUUGAGGUUGGAUUAGCGUAGUGCUUGAGGAAGUCUCUCCAAAAGUGUACUUUGUCUUUGACAUGAUUUAGACUGGUACCAUAUCUUACGGGGUCAUAAACAUUUGAAGAUAAAAGAUGCCUUUUAUCUUGAGGUGGUAAAUCGAAGAAUUCUCUCGCAGCUUCUAUGGCGUCGUCCAUGACUGACAAUGGGAUUCCAUGGUUAACUACCUGCAAAGUCAUUUAUCACAUGCAUGGUGUUAUUUUACGUUCAGGGUGAAUUUGUGAAAAGCCGUCAUAUUUCCCUUCCUGGUAGACAACCUAAGUAUGUCAAAAUCUAGGAAGUCUGUUUUAACUGAUCAGCUGAAAAUAAAAGGUAGAGAGAAGACAAAUGGAAGUGAAGCUUAGAACUCUAAUGCACCAUGUGUAUAACAUGAAGUUCUUUCUUAUUCUUGAUUUCCAUAUGCCUUUUCUAUACGUGGAUGAUCUCACGAUAUCUUUUUCCUUACUUGGUGCAUGCAUAUUCUUCUUAUUUGGAUCCCUAUCGCUAGGAACUUUAUGUAUGCUGAAGCAAGUAAAUAGGAUAAAAUUAUCUUAUUCUAGCGAGUGAACGAUUGCAGGUGACAUGGACACUUGACGACAAGUAGUACCUGGAAGAAACCAAGUUCCUUGCAAGCCAGGUGUACAUCGUAGAUUAGCUGAGGCCGAAGAAGAGGCUGUCGCAGAUAGGAUAGAUCCACGACUGGCAAGCAUGUGUUACACAGGGUUCCAUCGGGGCGUAGAGCUGGUGGAAGAACGUAACGCUUGGGAACAUAGGUUAGUCCCUCUUCAUCAAGUGUCAUGGCACUAGUGAAUGAACAAUUUGGUGAUGGUGAACUCUCUCUCAUUCUUCCCACCAUAUUAUGCUCUUUAUCAUGACUUUUAACUCCCUAUUUAUAAGCAGGAAAAUAUGAAGAUAUAUAUGAUUUUUUGGAGUUUUUAAUUAUUUAUCCACUUACAUAAAUGUAAUACGUAUAAUGUGAGGGUACCAUGACUAUAACCAAUGGAAAAAUAAUAGAAUAUAGUGAUACAUGCAUGAACCAAAGAGUGAAACAUUUUAGGCUUGGUAAAUUGGCGGUUACAAUAAAUUGAAUUCGAUGAGUAAGAGUGUUCAGAUUCAGGUGGGAGUGAACCCACGCGCCACGAGUGAGAAUGGUGCUCUAGUUCUACACGUGCGCGUACGUAGGCACUGGCGUUUGGAACAUUAAUUUCCUUAUUUCACUUCGAGUUUAAGUUUUGUAAUUGUACAAAAUGGUUUAUACUAUCGGAUAAUAAAAUAUAAUAAAAUAUUUUACACUAUUAGGCAGAGUAAAAAUAUUGACCUGCUAUUACAGGUUAUUCAAUCUUUUGCUUGCAACAACAACAAAUCCAGUGAAUUUCUACUAAAGUGAGGUCUAAGGAGGGUAAAAUGAUUCCAAUCUUUUACAUAAAAAAAAAAAAAGAAAAAAAAUUGAGCAACCUGCGUCCAACUACUACGUCAAGUUACUUGAUAGUGUAAAAUAUUUUAUACACUAAAAAAAACUUAAAUUCUUGCACUUAUCAGCGUCGAUGCGUUAUUCUUGCACUUAUCAGCGUCGAUGCGUUGUUUCCACAGAGCAAGUAGAGUGAAAAAAAAAAUUACUCUCCCUUCAACGAAAGUUGUCCAUAGCUUAUUACACUAUUAAGGAACAAUAAAUAAUAAGAAUUUUACUUUAUUAUGCUUUUAAUGUAUUAUAUUGAGGAUCUUUAAAAAAUAGCAGUAUUUUGCUAUAAAACUUACCUUUCAUAACCACAUUUUACAUAAUUAUCAUUUAUAGCUGCUGUAUUCGAUUUAUGUCCCAUGUAUUCAAUUUUACAGAUAGUAUGUAUUCAUAUAAAAUAUGAAUACAAUCCAUAUUUAGUCGCGCCAAAAAUGGAAUUCAAUAUUUUUAAAAAGAAAAAAAUCUCAAUCACGCUUAUCUCGUUGAACUGAAUAUUUCCUUGCCUAACACUACCAUUAUCUUUUUUCAUGUUUUUUAUCCUUUUUCAUAUUUUUUUUUAUCUUUUUUUGUAUUUUUUUUUAUCUUUUGUGUUUUUCCCCUUUCUUCUUCUUUUUUCUAUUUUUUUCUACUUUUAUUUUUUUCAUUUCUUUCUUUUUCUUUUUUCCUUUUUUUCUCUCUUUAAUCCCUAACUUCUAUUUCUCUUUCUUCUUUUCUUUUCUUCUUUGAUUUUUUUUUAUUUUCUUUUUUGUACUUAUUUUCUUUAUUAUUUUUUUGUUCUAUUUUAUAUUUUUUGUAUUUUCAAAAAAUAUAAGUAGUUAGCACAAGUCAUGGAUGAUAACGUAAAUACCACAAUUAUUUAUCGUAUUUGUAGUCACACCGUCAUUUAUAUUUUUGUAUUUAUUGAUGCAACUAUAUUUGUAUUUGUAUUUUAAAGUUUGCACUUAUAUUUAUAUUUUAUAGUUUGCAUUUGUAUUUGUAUUUGAUAGUUCGCACUUGUAUUUGUAUUUAUAUUUGUUAGUUUGCGCCAUUAUUUAUAUUUUAUAUAAUUCACAUUUGUAUUUUAAAGAACUAUUUUGUAUUUGUAUUUUAUAAUUGAUUGCAUAUUAUAUUGGAUUAUAUUUAUAUUAUGGUUUUAUUGUGUUUGNNNNNNNNNNNNNNNNNNNNNNNNNNNNNNNNNNNNNNNNNNNNNNNNNNNNNNNNNNNNNNNNNNNNNNNNNNNNNNNNNNNNNNNNNNNNNNNNUAAAUGUACCGUUUUAUAUUUGUAUAUCAAAAUUAUUAUUCAUAUUUGUAAAUAAACAACUAUCACUUGAUACAAAUACAAUGACAAACAAAUGAAAUAAAUAAUUUUACAAAUACAAAUAUAAUAUGUAUUUGUAUAUAUUGUAUUUGUAUAAAAAUUUGAGUUGUAUUUAUUUGUAUCAAUAAAUACAACUCGUAUCAAUAAAUACAAACAAAUAUUCGUGGAAAGAAAAUCAAUCGUUUCUCUUCAAUAAUUAAAAAAUACAAAUGAUAGUUAACGCUUGUAUUUAUAUGUUAUAGAUUGCAUUUGUAUUUGUAUUUUAUAGUUCACACUUGUAUUUAUAUGUUAUAGUUUGCAUUUGUAUUUGUAUUUUAUAGUUUGCACUUGUAUUUGUAUGUUAUGGUUCGCAUUUGUAUUUGUAUUUUAGAGUUCGCACUUGUAUUUGUGUUUGCUAGUUUGCACAAAUGAAAAGAAGAAGAAAAAUUGAAAAGGAAAAAAAAGGAGGAAAACAUACAAAAAAGAAGAAGAGAGUAAUAGAAAAUAAGAAAAAAAUUUUAAAAAGAGAAAAAAUAAAAAGAAAAAAAAUAAAGGAGAAAAAAUACAAAACAAGAAGAAGAAAAAAAAGAGGAGAAAAAUGAAAAGAAAAAAAGAAAAAAAAUAAUAAAAAAGAAAAAAGAAAAAAAAAGUGAAAAAAUAAAAAAUAAAAAGAAUGCAACAAAAAAGGAAAAGAAAAACUGAAGAAAAAAAAAUUGAAAAAGGAAAAAAAAAGAGAAUAGUAUAAAAUAGAAAAAAGAGAAAAUACAUGGGAAAAGUUAUGAAUUGUAAUUAAGGAUAAUUAAUAGGCAAGAGGGGACUAUGAAUUAUAAUUAAUUAAAAAUUAGACUUUAAGUGGUAAUAAAAGCUCAAUAGUGGCUAAUCCAAGUAAUUUUCUCUAUUAUAUUUAAUAUUUAAAAAAUAUAUUGCAUCAUGAGCAACAUUUAAUACUAAGGAUAAAAUAAAUACAAUAAAUAAAUUAUUCAUUAAUUUUUUAAAUUGAUGAUAUAUUUUCUAAUAUAAUGGACAAACAAGGAGUAUCGGGAGUACUAAGCCAGGCAAUUUCUAGGAGUCAUUUGGAAAGCCCCGUGGGAUUUGAAUUUAAAUGUUUAAAACGGUCGUUUGGUUGGAAAAUAGUUAUCUCGAAAUAGUUAAUUUCGAGAUUAGUUAUCCCAAAAUUACUCGGGAUAACUUAUCCCACCAUGUAUAUGGGAUAAUUUAUCUCAUCACUGCAGUGUAAAUGGUGGGAUAAGUUAUCCCGGUAUUAACUAAUACAUUUAACCAAAUAUGAGAUAAAAUAAUCCUUUAUUUUAUUUCGAGACUAUUUGUUCCUUAUAUCUCACACCAAACGAUCCCUAAGUAGAUAUAAUUAUACCGUUUGAUCUGGUUAUUGAUCAAAUAAUUAUUAAUCGUUUAGUAAGGAAUUAGGUAUAACUGGUCGUAAUUACAAUUUUCAAUUUUCAAUUUUCAAGAGGGGGUGGGAAUUACAUCGUGUCAUUAUAAAGUUAUUUUUAAACUACUUCUUUUUGUUUUUAUUUUCUUUUUAAUUUAUUUCUAUUAUUUUAAUUUUUUAUUUUUCAUUUUAAAUAUUUUUUAUCUUACCUUAUUUAUUUUUCAUUUCUUUUCUUCUCAUUUUCCAACUUUUACAUCUUGAGAUUCCAGUAAUUGCUUGUAUUUUUUAUUUUUAUUUAUUUUUUCAUUUAGCAUAUUUGAGUUAGUAUUCUAAUUUUUGAAUUAAAGUGAACUCUAUGCCAUUAAUUAUUAUUUUUUCAAACAUGCAUUUCAUGAUUUUCUUAAAGACCAUAUAUUUUUAGUUUUAAUAAUUAAUUAAAUAAAACUUAUUAUUAACUUCAAAUAUAUAUAUAUAUUAUUUUUAUAAUAUUAGUUAAAAAUAUGAAAUUAUUAAUUAGUAUACUUUCAAGAGACAAUAUGUGUCUUAAAUACGCGAUUUAAUAUCAAUUUUGAUAAUUAUUUUUUGUUGUGUAAUCACACCUGUGCAGUCAAUAUGUACUUAUAACUACACUGUAAUUUUAUUAUGACAAAUAAAUAGGUUAUCAUAAUACUUUAUUGUAUAAUUAAUCAAGUGACUUGAGAAAAUUGAAGGAAAGAUGUCUUUUAAGUUUUGAAUGAAGGAUUGGUGACAUUGAUCAAUAGAUAGGGUCAAAUAUCAUUAGGAAACUUGAUUAAAUUAAUUGUGGACUUGAUUAAUAUUUUCAAAAUUUUCUAAUCUUUUAAAAAAUACAAAUCAACCCAACCCACAUUCCUCUUCAAUCAAAAUCAACCACNNNNNNNNNNNNNNNNNNNNNNNNNNNNNNNNNNNNNNNNNNNNNNNNNNNNAAAAAUUCUCCGUUCAACCUCCGACGACAAAUAGUCGGACGAGUUCCUUUUCGACUUUCAACUGUCAAUCGAUGUGAAGACUUCUCCGGCAACAACAACUUCGAGUUUUUCGUCGUCCUAUUUCCCGUUUCACAGGUAAAAAAUUAUGAAGAAAUAGAGGAACUUGAGCCAAGUACUCUUCUAGUAUUGAAAUAUGGACUGAAUAAAACCCUAAUUUCUGGCAUUUCUUCUUCUUAUUGUCGUACUGUUGAUUCGAAUUUGUCGGUGAUUUUUGAUCACAGUUGAUGUUCUUAGUGUGUGUGUGUGUGUGAUGUGUUGGUGUUGUUAAAAUUGAUUUGUUGUUUGUCUUGGUAAAAAUGGUAUUGCAACAGAUAAAACAUUUGAUGUAACAGAUGAAACAUAUGAUGCAACAGAUGAAAAUCUGAUGCAGCAUAUGAAAAUCUGAUGCAACAGAUAAAAAUCUGAUGCAACAGGUGAACAAUCUAACAGAUCAUUCAUCUGUUGCGAUAGAUGACUCUUCUGUUUGGAAGAAAUCUAAACAAUAUUGGCACAACAGAUAACUGAUUAGUAAUCUGUUUUUAUUCUUUCCAACGGUUUACUCUUCAUUUUGCAACAGGUUAGGACUGUUUUAUUCUUUCCAACGAUUUACUCAUCCGUUGUAACAGGUCGGUUAUAUGUUGCAACAAAUAACAUACCUGGUGCAACAGAUUAGUGAUUCGUUUUUAUUCUUUCCAACGGUUUACUCAUCCGUUGCAACAGGUCUUAUAUGUUGCAACAGAUAAAAUACCUGGUGCAACAGAUUAGUGAUCUAUUUUUAUGGUUUCCAACGGAUUACUCAUCCGUUACAACGGGUCAGUUAUAUGUUGCAUCAGAUAAAAUACCAGGUGCAAUAAAUUAGUGCUGUUUUUAUGGUUCCCACGGAUUACUCAUCCGUUGCAAUAGGUCGGUUAUAUGUUGCAACAGGUAACACACCUGGCGCAACAGAUUAGUUGUCUGUUGGAACUAUUACAUUACUGUUAUGCAUUAAUCAAUUAUAAUCUAUGUUAUGUUCCUAUUAAUUUAAGAUAACAUGGCCCCCAAAAGAAAAGAAAUCGAAUCAAGUCCAAGUGAAGGAACAAGUGCAGCAGCUCAGCUACAUCCAACACUCUAUGAGCUUGCUUUACAAGCGUUAUCUCAAUCUGGAGCAGAAGAUGAUGAACACGGGGAGGAGGAAUCUUUCAAAAGAGAUGAUCCGCAUGCUAAUAGCCCUUCCGUCGAAGAGUUGGUCAAAACCUUCAGCAUUGAUCGUUAUCCUGUGAGAAUGCAGAGCGAUGGUGCCACAGAUUUAUCGGGUGAUCUCGUGGUUAAGUCAGUCAUGGGAAAAUCUUUCGAUGCCUUCAGAAAAAUACUUUGAGAAUAAAAAUUGGAUUCUUAUUUCAGGGAAAGCUGCUUUGGGCAAUAUCUUGAUUUGCCGGAGGACAACAAUGCUCGUUUUCAGAUGAAAAUGGUAUAUGAUCUUCUCAAGCCCAGGUUUAUGUAUGAACACAAAGAUAAGAUGGAUGAGGUGUGGAUAAAUUACUGUGACAUGCCUGUUUGUUUUGGUUGAAAGGAGUUUGCCAUAGUUACCGGACUAAAAUGUUAUCCUCCUUCUCCUUCUCAAGUUAUACCUACUUUGACUCAAAAAAAAAGCACCCCGCCCACCCAACAAAGGAAAAGACAAGUCGAGUGAUCAUGAUGACCUGGUGUCCAUUCUUGGUCCAAGCUUCAAAAACAAAAAUCUGGUAGAAGUGUUGAAAGGUAAAAGGCUUUCAAAAAAGCACAAACAAUCAUUGUGCUUGGUUUGGUUUGUACAUAAUAGUCUUUGGGCGAGAGACGUUAACAACAACAUAAGCCUCGAUUUAAUAAAUCUCUCCGAGGAUCUUGAGGUAGUUAACAACUAUCCUUGGGGUUAUGAAAGUUUCAAAAUGGCUGUCGAAUAGUUGUUGACUCCGUUAACACCAAAAACAGUCAACUUAUAUGGCUUUCCAUGGGCCUUCAUGGUAAAUAUUUCUUUUAUCAUGAUAUGAUUUAUCAUUUUUUUAUUCAAUAAUGCUUUUAAUUUAUUGGCGUUAUGUUAUCGGCUUGGGCAUUUGAAGCCAUUCCUUAUUUGAAACAACAAGUGAACUACCAGGAAGAAGUUUCUUGUCCAAGAAUUCUGAUAUGGUUGUAGGCCAAAACCGAUAAAAACGCAAAAUUUCUUGAUCUUUUCAAUCCCCCUGUCACACGCCUUUUUACGCUCGAGGGUUCGAGUUGAAGGAUUUUUCCAAUUAAAGUGACAGUUUUGAAUAAGAAUUAGUUUAUUAACAGAGUUGCCACUUGGAUUGAGUUAUGGUGUUCCAAGUCACCUUAUUGAAUUCCUAAUCAAAAUGAAAUGACUCUUUAUUUUGGUCUGCAAAAACAGAAGACCGGGUAAAGAAUUCUAUUGAUCGAGGGGAAGGCGUGAGGCACCCCUCGAGUCCUGUGGUUCUAGUACGGUCGCUUUUAUUGACUUAUCUUAACGUAAACUAUUUAAUAAAUUAUGUUAAGGCCUAAAAUCACUCAUUUUUAUUAUACCUAAAUCGUCUAUAUUUUAUAUUUAAUUAAAUCGGUGAAAGUUAGUUUUUUUGAAAAAUAUUUAUCAAGGUGCAUUAUUGCACCCUUAAAUUUUAAAAUAUCUCAGAAAGAUGUAUACGCCGCAUUUUUAAUUGAGACGAAUAUUUUAAACGCAUUUAAAAUUUACCUAAAUUCCUAAUAACAAACUAAAGUAAAAUUCAUUUAAUGCAAUUAAUUAAAUCAAUAAAUAAUUAUUAAGUUCUAUUAAUAAAAAUAAUAAAAUAAAUAAAAAUAUAAAUCUACUAUAUUGCGUUAAAUUUAAUAUUAUCCCCAAAAUUUAAUUUAUUCAAAAUUCAUACAAAAUCAAAUCAUAUUUUAUAAGAUAAAUUAACACACAAAAAAAAAUCCCAAUAAUCUAAUUUAAACAUAAAUUUAUGAAAGAAAAAUUGAGCAACCCUAAAAUAAAGAUAUAUAAAAUCCAAACAAGAUAUAAUUAUUUUUAAAAUAUUGGAGAUUAAAUUAAUAUCAUAUUUUAAUUAUAAGUUGAUAAGUGAUGGAAUAUUGCUAGAUAAGGAGAUUAAUAUAAUUUCUCAUAAAGUAAUAAUAAUAAAAAAUAACAAAAAAAAUUCGAAAGAUAUUUAGCAUUAACAUUUUUAAAUAGUCUGCAUAAAAAAAAGAAAUAGAUAGCGUAUUUUUAAAACAAACGGAGAUAGUCACUGGCCGGAGUUGUCAACGGCAUCUAUGCUUGCCUCUCCGAUUGAAGAUGACGGCAUGGCUAAUUUGCCUGUAUGGUUGGUUGCAGUUUGCCAAAAGGAGAGGAAGGAGCGCUGGCGGGUAAGGGAAGGCGCUGUUGCGCCACAUUCCGGAGACGGAGGGAGAGAAAGGGGUCGGCGGCAUAGGUGAGGGGAGGGGGGAUAGCGCCGACAGCAGAUCUGGGAAGGGAUGUGGAGGCGGCGCCGGUGCUGGGAUGGCUAGUAUCGCCAGAAAAGGGGGAGGGGAAAGGCGCCGACAAUGGCUAUCUCGCCAUGUCGUGGAGGUUUCGGUUACAUCUGGCGCGCCAUUCAUUGGUGUCGCCGGCGGAUUGAUACUGUUCCAGUAGUGUGGGGGUUGUUUUCGACAAGAAAUUUGGCUGGAGAGGACCAAUGUUGAUUGUUUUCCAACGAUGAAUAAACUUUUUUCCGGCAAAAUUUCGCUGAAAAAUUAAUAUAAGAGUCUAUUAUUUUUUCAUCUUCUUCCUUCAAUUUUCUCACUUUUUUUUCGGUCUCUUACUGAUUUCUCCUUGUCUUUGUGUGAAUGCGUGUGUUGUGCUAUUGUGUAUAUUAUUCCGAUCAACUAUAUUCAAUAUACUCUUGUUAGUGAUGUCGACGGAGUGGCCAGUGAUAUUUUGUGUAUUGUUAGCUGUGAGUGAAAUUAUAACAGUGUUCAUGUAACUGUAACAGUACCCCUUUUCUUAAAUCAGACACUAUCAUAUGCAAUAUUUUUAUAUCUAACACAGUAUAUAAAUAUUCAGUGAUUUGAUAUCAUAAUAUAUAAUAAUAGAAAAUUUACAUAAUCAAUCAAAUGCACAUAUCAAAUAAUGCAUAAGAUCACUUGAACAUUUUCAUUCAUGCUAGUUCAUAAUAAAGUUUACAGGAUAAAUGAUACAUGAUCAAAUAGAACCUGUGAUGAAGCAAAAAAUCGACAUCAAAACUCGAACAGAAACCCGAAACUCUAUUUGCUACUCUUUCUCUUCUUUCUUUUUUGUGUUUGAUUUUGAGUGUUGUUUUCUUCUCAUUUGAUUUUGAGUGUUGUUUUCUUCUCACUUUUUGUCCGAUUUCUCUCUGUAUUUUUUAGUGUGGUCUUUCUCUCUCCGUAUUUUUUAUCUCUGUCUGAUUUGUCUGAUAUAGUGUAUGAGGAUGUGAAAAAGUACGUCCGUUUCCUGGGGUUGGGGAGUCCUUAAAUAGAAGGAUUUUGGGGGGAGUAGUGUAGGUAGUUUAGGAUUUAAAUUUUGAAUUUUUUUUUAUAUAUAUAGGAUAAUGAUCUCAUUUUUUAAUAAAUAAAUAAAUUAUAUAAAAAUUAAAUAAUAAAAUAAUAAUAAUAAUAAAUAUUAAAUAAUUAAUUUUUAUACUUAAGAAAAAUAGAAUAAAAAUAUAACUAAUUUAAAAUAAAAAUAUAAUUAAGAGAAAAUAAAAUUACUAGAUUAUUUAUAAAAAUCUAAAUUAAAAGAAAAUAUUUUUUGAAAAUUUUUUUGUAUUAUUUUAAAAAAAAAAAUCUUAAAAUGUAACUUUAUUUUUUGAUUUUUUUAAAAUGAAAUCUAUUAAAAAAAUAAAUUAAAUAAGAACUAAAGAUAAUAUUUUGACAUAAAUAAAUAUUUAAUGUCAAUAAAUAAAUAAAUCAAAACUCGGGAGUGUCAAAAAUCACGUGUCUACAUUUUUGCCCCUCUUUUUGUUGAAUCUCGAAGAGUUUUCAUACAAAGAAGUAGACAAGAUAUGAUUUUUGACCCUCCAAUUAUUUGAAAGUUAAGGAUAAAAAUAAAAAUUAAAGGAAAAAUGUAACCGAGUUCUAAUUUUGGACCUCCUACAUAUCCCGGGUUUAAGAGAAUCAGGUCACAUGUAGUUCAAAGAUAACAUGGUAAGAGAAUGAGUUAGACAUCGAGUGAGAUUUCGUUCGAGUUUCCGAUUUUCGACUUUCUGCUUUUACAUUGAAAUGAAUAACAAAAAAUAAAAUAAAGAUACAAAUGAAAGAUCCUAUCUAUGCUGCUUUUCUGGAAUCUUGACUUGAAUCUUUACGACUUCUCAAAUGGUGAGAUAGUCGUUAUUUUGAGUUGAACUUGAAACACGAAAUGUUCCUUCUCGUUGGCUUUUGGCGUUAGAGAGGAACUUGAUAAUUCAUUUAUUCUUUGAACUUUCCUCUGACUUGAAUUUGACAAUCUUUACCCUAUUUUUCAGGCGGACUCCUGAACUUGCAAUUGAU
rnacentral:lncRNA from 1 species